rnacentral:rRNA from 1 species
UACGAAGGGGGGCUAGCGUUGCUCGGAAUCACUGGGCGUAAAGCGCACGUAGGCGGCUUUUUAAGUCAGGGGUGAAAUCCUGGAGCUCAACUCCAGAACUGCCUUUGAUACUGAGAAGCUUGAGUCCGGGAGAGGUGAGUGGAACUGCGAGUGUAGAGGUGAAAUUCGUAGAUAUUCGGAAGAACACCAGUGGCGAAGGCGACUCACUGGCCCAUUACUGACGCUGAGGCGCGAAAGCGUGGGGAGCAAACAGG